GCUGCAGCUGUCACUCAAACCAAGCAGCUGAUGAGGCUGGGAGACAGCGUGUGCGUGUGUGCGUGUGUACGCCUGGGCGCCUGUGCACGAGUGUUUCCCCCCCUACCGCCCAGAGAACCUUCUCACCCGCCUCUCCCAGUAUGUGUCCGAGCUGGAGUUAGUGGAGCUGUCCGUCUCUGUUGGGCCCUCACACUGUCUGUAUCCCAUUGUUUCUGUACUGGAGUUUAUGUGCUGAAUUCAACAGGAACCUUCUAGAAGUGCUGCUGGUGGUUUGUGGUGACCCUACAGCAGAGCCGUCACUGGGCACGAUUGUGAGUCCCCCCCACUGUGACCCCCUCCACGUCUGGUGUCCCCGUCACUGUGAAACCAGCCAUCUGUCACCGCAGCGCUUUGACCGUGCACACCUGGCGUCGACAACCCUCCCCCCC
ensembl:lncRNA